AAUAUUCCUGCACGACUUGUAAUUGCGAUGGGGGGACGGAGAAGGCUAGGUGGGCCAGGCGACGGUUGUCCUGGUGAAAGUGCGUAGGUGGUGUUUCUAGGCAAAUCCGGAGACACAACACUGAGACACGAGACGAACGCACCACGGUGCGGAAGCCAUUGAUGCCCUGCUUCCAGGAAAAGCCUCUAAGCUUCAGAUUACAAGUCAUCGUACCCCAAACCGACACAGGUGGUCGGGUAGAGAAUACCAAGGCGCUUGAGAGAACUCGGGUGAAGGAACUA
rnacentral:rRNA from 1 species